ACCAUCUUCCCCCUCACAAUAGCUCUUUAAACUGCUCUCUCAACUUUGUUAGCCUGUUUCAAUGCAAUCGUGUCGUCUCGUCCUCUACUCAUCACUUCAAAAACAAAAACAAAAAAACAGACAAAAUAAACUACAUAACUUUCUAAAAAUCCGAAAAUCUACACGACUUUCCCGAAUAUUUUGAAAAAAUCUGGUUAACAUCUUCAACAUUUU
rnacentral:lncRNA from 1 species